CAGCGCUGAAGCCGCUUGGUUGCUCCCGGUCGACGGGCUCUCCGACUCCGAUGAAGAAGUGAGCUCCGAUGACGGGGUCGGGGUGGAGGGAGGAGGGUCUACUUGCGUCGGAUCUUGCUGUUGGAGAUCAUACACCGGGCUCGCUGGGCUGCAUCUGAUGAACUGGGACAACUCCGACAAGGAUAUGAUGUUAGAGGGACCUGGCAACUGCAAAGCGAAUGCGUUAUCACACGUUAAGCCAAAAAGAAAAAAGGAAAACACACUUCCCAAAACUAUAGGCUACCAGAAUAAAUCAUAAAUCCCACAAAUUUUCCUGGGAGCAUAUGGCUGCAGAUAUUCACCAGAUUUCGCCACGUCUCGUUUUUUUUUUUCUUCUCCUUCCACGCAGGAACUCCGGAGCUGCAAUGUGAAACUGAUUCAGUGUGUGUUUUUUGCCAUGAAGGCAGGGACCUCCCCUAGCCUAUAUUCAUUUACAUACGUCAGUAAAUACAGCUGUCCUUCAACAAGGCUAAAAGACAGGUCUACCUUGAUGCAGGCACUUCGACACACGCGAACACAGAGGAGGGGGGGGGGGUUUAAACUAAAAUGACUUCCACCAAAUGGCACACUUCGUUCUUUUUAUGCAGUGGAAAGUGACGCACCUGAAGCGCGUUAUUAUACCGCAAAGAUCUCUCAUGUAUACCGGCAAACCUUUUCCUUACAAUAAAACAAAUAUGUCUUAUAAUAUAGGCAUAUAUUUAAGCACAAUGUAGGCUAUAAAACUAAGAUAAUUAAAUAUAGGUCAUACGAUAAAGUUGACUGGGCAAAUGAGUAUAAAAUAUUCAACAUAAAAGUCUAUAUGAUUAGGGAUUUUAUUAUAGCGCAAAGAGGGACUCGGCCCGAGGUCCGCAUUGACACAGGUUGGCAUUGACAGAAUACAAGAUGUUCCCAUGUGGGCUAUACUUGCAUUUGAAUAACUUAAAGCCAAGGCUGGAACAUCACUGAAAGCUCGUGUUCUCUAUUCAAAGUUAGACACUGUAUAUUAUACCUUUCAUGCAAAAUUCUCCCUUACUUUGCAUUUCAGAGACAACGCCUUGCAAAAGCCCAAUUAACAUUUGAGCACACCCUCGAAUUUUAUCAAGACAGAGAAUUGCAUUCAGAAAGCUACACGGUUGCCACGUUAUUAAAUUCAGUAGUGAGCAGGACAAUCUAAAAUGUAAAUAAAGCACAAUAUGUUUGAUCAUUGCGAGGCUUACACUGAGCAAUUGAGCAUUUUCGGUCAGCUGGGGCACAUGCAACGCGCAAUCACACAGUGUCGAAUAAUCUAACGUUACAAUUAAAUUAAAAUAACAUUGAUAAGGCUCCUCUUGACUGUCGGAACCUGACUGCAGGACGAGCUAGAACAUGCAGCCAAGGCCAUUCAAUAACAUGACUGCGAUAGUCUGUAGACUUUGAAAAUAACACUCCAGAUGACAUGGCGGAUCAUUUUAGCAGUAUGAUGGCAGUGACACAAGUGGGUCUUUCGAGAUAAUCGCAAUAGCCAGCGUUGUAGGCUACACACCCCACCAGUUAAUCCGUGUUUUUCUCCUCCAAGAGCUGCGCUUCCAAGGUCAUCAGAGCAGCACAAUCAGCAGCCUUCAGUAGCUCACCUCACCGGCCCUUCACCACAGACACUGCCCAAAUCAAAAGCCUAUUUAUCGCGCCGAUCGGAUGCCUCAUCUGGUACAUUUCAUGAAGCUGUCUUGCCUUGAAAUCCCCCCUUUAAUCCAUGUGUCCCCCUUUAACACACAAACGACAACACAGCAUGCACACACAGCGUGGUCGCUUCUCUGCCUUGACGUGAAGCGUAAUAUUACCUUUAUCGUUCACCUUUUUGGGACUCUGUAAAUAAAGAUAUUUCUGUUU